rnacentral:sRNA from 1 species
CAGGACUGGGAAUGGUGGGACAAGUCAUCAUCUUCAGCCGUGUCUGGAGGGCAUGCUCGUGGGGCAGGUUGGUAACACUUCACUUCAUCUUCGGCCUCAGGCUCCAUUCGGCUUUCUUCACCACCAUCAGGACCUCUCUCUCUCGUCUCAGUACCGGG